GAUUAACGCUAGCGGCAGGCAUAAUACAUACAAGUUGAACGGGAUCAGUUGUAGCAAUACGACUGUGAGAGUGGCGCACGGGUGCGUAACACGUAUGCAAUCUACCUUUAUCAGUGGAAUAGCCCCUCGAAAGAGGGAUUAAUACCACAUAAAAUAGUGAAUAGGCAUCUAUUUACUAUCAAAGCUCCGGCGGAUAAAGAUGAGCAUGCGGCUGAUUAGGUAGUUGGUGAGGUAAUGGCUCACCAAGCCGACGAUCAGUAGGGGGUCUGAGAGGAUGUCCCCCCACACUGGUACUGAGACACGGACCAGACUCCUACGGGAGGCAGCAGUAGGGAAUAUUGGUCAAUGGGGGCAACCCUGAACCAGCCAUGCCGCGUGCAGGAUUAAGGCCCUAUGGGUCGUAAACUGCUUUUGUACGGGAAGAAAUCACAAUACGUGUAUUGUGUUGACGGUACCGUGAGAAUAAGGAUCGGCUAACUUCGUGCCAGCCGCCGCAGUAAUAC
rnacentral:rRNA from 1 species